rnacentral:lncRNA from 1 species
GGUCUCACUAUGUAGUUGACACUGACCUGGAACUCACUAUGUAGCCUAGGCUGGUCUGGAACUCACAGCAAUUCUCCUGCCUCAUCCUCCCCAGUGCUGGGAUUACAGGCAUGUGCCACCACCUCCAGCUAAGUUUUAUGAAUACCAGCUAAAUUGCAGUCUGUGUCUCAUAGCUGAACAGCCUCAGGUACCACACAGCCUUAAGCAGAAAAGAAGCUUCUGAGAGAAUUAUCCGCCUUGUGAAAAGCCUAACACAGAGGUACAGUUAGACUCAGGAGCCAGAACAUCUUUGUACAAAUUUCAACCCCUUCAUUUGCUUAUUGUGGAACUUCAGACAGGUUAGCUAUCCUCUCUGUGCUUCAUUUUCCUGAUCUGUAAAAUGGAGAAAAUAAUAGAACUAAUUUUAUACAGUUGUUGUGACGAUUAAGUGAAUAUACAAGGCCAGGGAUUUAGCUCAGUGGUUCAGUGGCCUGCCUUGCAAGCGCAAGGAUCCGAGUUCAAUUCCCGGUACACACACACAAAAAAAAAACAUGUAUACAUUCUUCUAAGCUCUUAGAAGAGUGCCUUCCUUGCACACA